UUUCCGUAGGUGAACCUGCGGAAGGAUCAUUAUCGUGGGGGCAACCCCAUCGAGAUAACACCCCGUGCCUUUUGAGAACCGCCCGUUUCCCCGGCAGGUCCGCCUGCCAGCGGGGACUAUACAAACCCUUUUAGUACAAGCAGUCAGCGUCAAACAAUGAAUAAAUUAAAACUUUCAACAACGGAUCUCUUGGUUCUGGCAUCGAUGAAGAACGCAGC
rnacentral:misc_RNA from 1 species